rnacentral:rRNA from 1 species
UAUACGGCGGACGGGUGAGUAAUGCUUAGGAAUCUGCCUAUUAGUGGGGGACAACAUUCCGAAAGGAAUGCUAAUACCGCAUACGCCCUACGGGGGAAAGCAGGGGAUCUUCGGACCUUGCGCUAAUAGAUGAGCCUAAGUCAGAUUAGCUAGUUGGUGGGGUAAAGGCCUACCAAGGCGACGAUCUGUAGCGGGUCUGAGAGGAUGAUCCGCCACACUGGGACUGAGACACGGCCCAGACUCCUACGGGAGGCAGCAGUGGGGAAUAUUGGACAAUGGGCGAAAGCCUGAUCCAGCCAUGCCGCGUGUGUGAAGAAGGCCUUUUGGUUGUAAAGCACUUUAAGCGAGGAGGAGGCUACUUGGAUUAAUACUCUAGGAUAGUGGACGUUACUCGCAGAAUAAGCACCGGCUAACUCUGUGCCAGCAGCCGCGGUAAUACAGAGGGUGCGAGCGUUAAUCGGAUUUACUGGGCGUAAAGCGUGCGUAGGCGGCUUUUUAAGUCGGAUGUGAAAUCCCUGAGCUUAACUUAGGAAUUGCAUUCGAUACUGGGAAGCUAGAGUAUGGGAGAGGAUGGUAGAAUUCCAGGUGUAGCGGUGAAAUGCGUAGAGAUCUGGAGGAAUACCGAUGGCGAAGGCAGCCAUCUGGCCUA